AUUGAACGCUGGCGGCAUGCCUAACACAUGCAAGUCGAACGAGUAGCGGACGGGUGAGUAAUGUCUGAGAACGUGCCUGAUGGAGGGGGAUAACUACUGGAACCGGUAGCUACUACCGCAUACCAUCCUAUCGGCCGAGAUGGGAUUAGCUUGUUGGUGGGGUAAAGGCUGACCAAGGCCACGAUCCGUAGCUGGCCUGAGAGGAUGACCAGCCACACUGGAACUGAGACACGGUCCAGACUCCUACGGGAGGCAGCAGUGGGGAAUAUUGGACAAUGGGCGAAAGCCUGAUCCAGCCAUGCCGCGUGUAUGAAGAAGGUCUUCGGGUUGUAAAGCACUUUCAGCUGGGAGGCGUUACCCACAGAAGAAGCACCGGCUAACUCCGUGCCAGCAGCCGCGGUAAUUC
rnacentral:rRNA from 1 species